rnacentral:rRNA from 1 species
UACAGAGGUCUCGAGCGUUGUUCGGAUUCAUUGGGCGUAAAGGGUGCGUAGGUGGCGUCGUAAGUCGGGUGUGAAAUUUCGGAGCUUAACUCCGAAACUGCAUUCGAUACUGCCGUGCUUGAGGACUGGAGAGGAGACUGGAAUUUACGGUGUAGCGGUGAAAUGCGUAGAUAUCGUAAGGAAGACCAGUGGCGAAGGCGGGUCUCUGGACAGUUCCUGACGCUGAGGCACGAAGGUCAGGGGAGCAAACGGG